GGAAGAUGCAUAUGCUUCUGCUAUAUUUUUUCUUUUAAAGGACAAAGUACAUGAUUUGGCUGGUGAUGACUAUAGGAGCUCUGUUUUGGAGUCCAUUAAAGCAUGGAUACAGGCUGUGCCCCUUCAGUUCUUACGAGCACUUCUUGAUUACCUUGGAGAUUUUACUAACUGCAAUGACCCUUCCCCUGGCCUGAAAUCUCCCCUGGCAU
rnacentral:misc_RNA from 1 species